UAUUUCCUGAUAAUUAGUGUUAAUAAACGUGUUUCAUCUUUUAUCAGCUAUUUCUCGCGUGUGUAAUCUUCGUAAUUCUAAAUUUUCCGUGUUAGUUUAUUCACGUGUUGUGUGUUCGUUGCCGUCGGGCGUCGGCCGGCAAUGUUUUGUGAACGCCAUUAAGUAAUGAACUUGUGAAAAACAUUUAUAUCAACAGCAGAUGAUUAUGGACUAAUGUGCUACAUGAAUCUACCAAAUUGACAUUCAAAUACUGUAUCUAUCAACAUAUCUUCGAUUUACGGUUCUGCAUAACUGGUAAGUAAAAUAAUUUUAUUAUUUAUAAAA